rnacentral:misc_RNA from 1 species
AAAGUCGUAACAAGGUUUCCGUAGGUGAACCUGCGGAAGGAUCAUUAUUAUUCGGUAGUUUACUAUCGUUUGAAAGGGGUGGAAACUUCACUGGCGAUCCCGGGAAGGAGUACACCUUUUUUCUUAACCCUUGACUUUUUGCGCACUCAUGUUUCCUCGGCAGGCCUGCCUGCCGGAUGGACAAAACCAUAACCUUUUUACUAUUCAAUCAGCGUCUGAACAAUUAUAAUAAUUACAACUUUCAACAACGGAUCUCUUGGUUCUG